UCGAUGAUCCGCGGCUCCGCAGCGC
rnacentral:miRNA from 1 species